GUACUGGCAUUGUUGGUUUCUCCCUUCUGACGAACCAUGAUGUCAUUUAUUUGGUGUUGUGGGGGAUCAGGACUGUUACUUUGAAAAAAUUAGAGUGUUUAAAGCAGGCUCACGCUUGAAUGCAUUAGCAUGGAAUAAUGAAAUAGGACGUUUGAUUCUAUUUUGUUGGUUUCUAGGAUCGACGUAAUGAUUAAUAGGGAUAGUUGGGGGCAUUAGUAUUCAAUUGUCAGAGGUGAAAUUCUUGGAUUUAUUGAAGACUAACUACCGCGAAAGCAUUUGCCAAGGAUGUUUUCAAUAAUCAAGAACGAAAGUUAGGGGAUCGAAGACGAUCAGAUACCGUCGUAGUCUUAACCAUAAACUAUGCCGACUAGGGAUCGGAUGAUGUUAAUUUUUUAAUGACUCA
rnacentral:rRNA from 1 species